rnacentral:rRNA from 1 species
AUUGAACGCUGGCGGCAGGCCUAACACAUGCAAGUCGAGCGGAUGAAGGGAGCUUGCUCCUGGAUUCAGCGGCGGACGGGUGAGUAAUGCCUAGGAAUCUGCCUGGUAGUGGGGGAUAACGUCCGGAAACGGGCGCUAAUACCGCAUACGUCCUGAGGGAGAAAGUGGGGGAUCUUCGGACCUCACGCUAUCAGAUGAGCCUAGGUCGGAUUAGCUAGUUGGUGGGGUAAAGGCCUACCAAGGCGACGAUCCGUAACUGGUCUGAGAGGAUGAUCAGUCACACUGGAACUGAGACACGGUCCAGACUCCUACGGGAGGCAGCAGUGGGGAAUAUUGGACAGAGGGCAAAAGCCUGAUCCAGCCAUGCCGCGUGUGUGAAGAAGGUCUUCGGAUUGUAAAGCACUUUAAGUUGGGAGGAAGGGCAGUAAGUUAAUACCUUGCUGUUUUGACGUUACCAACAGAAGAAGCACCGGCUAACUUCGUG